AUUGAACGCUGGCGGCAGGCCUAACACAUGCAAGUCGAGCGAGCGGAGGACGGGGGAGUAAUGUCUGGGAAACAGCCUGAUGGAGGGGGAUAACGAAUGGAGACGGUAGCUAAUACCGCAUACCAUGAGAUGUGCACAGAUGGGUUUGGCAAGUAGGUGGGGGAACGGCUCACCUAGGCGUCGAUCCCUAGCUGGUCUGAGAGGAUGACCACCCACACUGGAACUAGUACACGGUCCAGACUCCUACGGGAGGCAGCAGUGGGGAAUAUUGCACAAUUGGCGCAAGCCUGGUGCAGCCAGGCCGCGUGUGUGAAGAGGGCCUUCGGGUUUUAAAGCACUUUCAUCGGGGAGGCGUUACCCGCAGAAGAAGCACCGGCUAACUCCGUGCCAGCAGCCGCGGUAAUUC
rnacentral:rRNA from 1 species